CCUGACAGUCACUCCAAAUGCAGGAAAACACUGAUCUCACGGAGGAGGGGUGCCUCUGAUGCAAAACACUGAUCUCAUGGAGGAGGGGUGCCUCUGAUGCAGGAAAACACUGAUCUCACGGAGGAGGGGUAGCUCUGAUGCAGGAAAACACUGAUCUCACAGAGGAGGGGUGGCUCUGAUGCAGGAGAACACUGAUUUCACGGAGGAGGGGUGCCUCUGAUGCAAAACACUGAUCUCACGGAGGAGGGGUGCAUCUAAUGCAGGAGAACACUGAUCUCAUGGAGGAGGGGUGCAUCUAAUGCAGGAGAACACUGAUCUCACAGAGGAGGGGUGGCUCUGAUGCAGGAGAACACUGAUCUCACGAGGGAGGGGUGCCUCUGAUGCAGGAAAACACUGAUUUCAUGGAGGAGGUAUGCCUCUCUACCGUAAGUAAAGAAGCACCUCCCAAGAGACAAAAGCAGGAAAUGCCACCAGCUGAGUGACAGACACCAGCUCUGCCUCUGUUCAUCACUGGAAUCUUCCAAGGCAGCUGACUUCGGAGACACCCCACGCCCCUGCAUCCCCCAGGCUGCAUCCCCCAGGCCUGGGUUUUUCAAACUGGCCUUCCGGGGUGUGGUCCUCUCCCUACUCUCUCCCCAGUGGACAUUCUCUCCACAUGCCACCCACCAAGGACAAGGGCCUCCACACUCAACUUGCCGAGGUGUGGAAAACCCCAGGCGGAGGUGAACUAUGUCAGUUACUCCUCCUUUCCCUCCCCCUCUGCUGGAGUUCCCCAACACGGAACUCCCACCAAGUUGGCUGCCCAAAGUGACGUUCUUGUGACGUUCCUGUGAUCCCAUUCCCCAGCCUUAGGGUAGUAACGAUUCUCCCCUCGAUGGGACUGUCAGUGCUGUCUCCAGGGACCCUUCUUGUCCCUAAUAUGCGCUCGGAGCUUCAAUUCCUCCCCCGCAGACGGCUUCCCGGACACAGUGCGUUCCCUUAAUUUUCAAUUGGUAGGAAUUAUGAAGUCAGCACAAUGACUCAGAGACAGGUCCUGCCUUCAAGAAGUAAACACUCAACUACGUGAAGACAAAUACUCAAAUAAUUACGCACCGGUUAGAAAAAGUAGCAAGUUAUGCAAAAAGAUACAAAGUCCCAGGGGACUUCCAAACAGCCCAGGAAGUGGUGCGGGACGGUGGGCUCAGCCCUGAAGGUGUCCGGAAUGGACUGAGCUCACCUGGGGACGCGAGCCGGCCAGGAGUAGUGGGGUGGGCCGGUGAGGUGAGGUCAGAGUCCAGAGGGCCUGGAAGCCAGCUUUCUGGUGAGUCUCCACUCUUAGUAAGGAAAACCCCCGCAGCAAACAAGAGAAGGGAAAAUCACAUUAUGAAAUGAAACCUACAAACACACAAACUACCAAUCCAGUGGCAGUACCUCCAGGUCAGAGCCAAACAGGAAGAUGCCAAGGAGGGCAUGGAAGAACGUCAGGGGGAACCGCGGCUGACUUUGGAGGUCUCUCAGGAGAGGGUCCCACCCAGAGGGAGGAAGGAAGGCACGAAGGGCCAGGUGGGCCACCUGGAGGGCGCUGUGCUAACCCUGCUGAACGGAGGAUUUCAUCAGAGAAGCGCCCGCUCCCACCUUCGAGAAAGGUCACCGCUUGCUGUUUUACAAGACCGCGGUGGGGAGGGACGGGCGCAGAGGCAGUACGACCUCAAGGUGGGAGACGGGGCGGUAGCCUGGCUGGAUUCUGGAUCUGUUCUGGAGGCACAGCCAAAAGGAUUUCCCGGGAAGUCCGAUACAGGCAUGAGUGAAAACACAGAUGAGGACGAUGGGGUUUCUGGCCGAAGGAACUGGACGGACAGGUGCAGUGAACUAAGGUGGCUGGAACUGCAGUGGGUGACACGGCUCUGGGAGACCUGUGGGACGCCGGGUGGAGGCUCUGCAGAGGCAGGGCAGCACGGUGCCCAGGGGAGGGGUCUGGACUGGAGCUGUGGACCAGGAGUCAUCACACUCAGGUGGGUCACAAGCCAGGGGACUGUGAGAUCGCCGAGGGGCCGAGUACAGAUGGAGAGAUCAGGCAGGUUUAGAACAGGAGAAAUGACAGCACCUUUGAGUUGACGGGAAUCCGGGGAGAACGCAAACCUAACGAUGAGGGAGGAUGACUGCCCUGGAGUGGGAAGAGGGAUGGGGACAUGGACCAGUGUGGGGAGAGCAUGCAGGACCCUCAGAGGCAGGGAGGCAGGGGUGUGGUGCAGAGCAGAGGUUCAGGGAAAGGCAGGGGACAGGCAGGGACGCUCUUCCAACCGGUUCAGCUCCAUCAAGCAGGAAUCCAGGCCACCCAUUACACGUGAGGAGGGGGAAGAGGCCUUGGGGGUGAGGGGAGAAGAAAGGCAUGAGCUGGUUGUUUGGGGAGUGGCCCUGAGGACCACCCUGAGGACCACUGUGGCUCAGGGCCUGGAGGAUCAACGCCGUCUGCCCGGUGGAAUGCUUCAUGCAGCUGUACUGAGCUAUGCUCGGCACACGUGACAGCCACCUACAGACCCCAGUGCAGGUGUGGAGCUCACCAGGGUGCUGGUGCAAGGAAGUCAGCGGGCACGGGAGCGGAGGGGUCAGGGUGCGACGCUGGGUGAGAAGGUAGAGGACUUCACGAGUGAGGCAUGGGAUAGCACUGAGAUGCGGCGCCUCAUCCUACCACCUCCCCAAAGACUGAUGAAACACCAGUGAGUCAAGCAGGAGCUCAGAAGGUUUUCUGAAGAAAGAAAGGACAAGAAGUAGAGGCAAAAGCACAAAUCAAUGAAUCAAAAAUUGGAAAAUCCGUAGAACUACAUUUUGAAAACGGUUUCUGGGAACAAAAAUGAUAAAUAGAUAAACUAUUCGCUAACCUAAUCAAGGAAAAAAGAGAGAAAGGACAAAUACUUAAAACAGGAAAUGAAAGGGAAAAGUCACCUCAGAAUCAGAGAAGCUUCACAGUGACACACAAUUGCUUCACAUACCUGUGUAGUGAAGUGUGAAACCCCGGGUAAACGGUGACUCGCAGGGCACAUACAUCGCACCUAACAGCUCCACUUUCAUGGAGGAAAGAAAGCUGUUGACGAGUGGCUCCCUCCAAAGGCAUCAGACCCAGGGGGCUAGGAAGGGGGAUUCCACCAAACCUUGACGGAAUGGAUAACUCCAACGGCAUUUUACACCCUGGGCAUAAGAAGUGAACAACUUCCAAAUUCUUUUUAUAAAGAGAAUGGAACAUUGAUUCUAAACAGAGACCAAAUAGCAGGAAUAUUACAGAUUAAUCUCACCUAUAAGUAUCCGUGUACAGAGUCUUAAGUAAAAUGGUAUCUAGUCCCCCACUCCUCAGGCGUGGGCUGUGCAUGGCGAUGUCUUUCCCACGGGAAGGGAAGAGCAUCUCCGGGUGCGGAGCCUCGAGGAGCGCGGCCUCGCCAGGCCAUCCGGGCAGCACCAUGGGGACAGUGGGCAUCCUGACGCAGUGUGGGGAGAAGGGACUCUACCUCUGUGGCGUUUCUCCCAAAAACUCAUAACCCCAGUCUAAUGGGAGAGCAACACCAAAUUCCAACAGAGAGAGGCAUCCUGCAGACACCUGACCAGCACUCCUCAAAGCUUCCAGCUCACUGAGGAAAGUCUUAAGAAACAGUCUCAGCCAAAAGGACCUAACAAAGAGGACUCUGGUGAAAACUACGGAAACCUGAACAGAAAGAGGACCCCGGUGAAAACUACGGAAACCUGAACAGAAAGAGGACCCCGGUGAAAACUACAGAAGCCUGUACAGAAAGGGGACUCUGGUAAAAACUACAGAAACCUGAACACACGCUUUAUUAAAUAAUGAUGUAUCCAUACCGCUUCAUCAACUGUAACAAGUGUAUCGUAAACAUGUGAGGUGUUAAUAAUUAGGAAAUGUGUGGGGUGUGCAGGACGCCCAGUGUCAUUAUCGUAACUUUCCUGUUAACUUAAAACUGUUCUCUGAAAAUUAAGGUCUAUUAGAAAAAAGGAUUGUCAAGUAGGUAAUUGAACUAUGUCACAUCUGAAAUACAAAAAAUAUGGUCAAUCCAAGUAAAGGACAUGGAAAGAUUUCCAGGUGUGAACCAGAAAUAAAAUCCUAAGCCCCACAACAGACCGAAUGGACCCUGCUCUUGGCCAAGGGGAACCCACAGAAACCUGAAAGACCAGUUCAGGCCCUGACCAGAGGGAGGGGGUCACACAGGCCUCGGUAUUCCCUCCUCCUUUGGAAUUCGGGUACAGCUGACCAGCAUCAACAUUAACACAGAGACAGACCUUAAGACUGACCCAAACUCUUUAUAGCAAUAAGACACCAAAUUCCAACAGCCGCUAGUACAGCAUCACAUGACAGACAGCAGACCCUGAAAGAAAGUAAAGUAUUUGACCCCAAAACGCAUUUCUUCGACAUGUUUUGAAAUGGUCCAGCAAAGCUCUCUCUGGUGGGGAAAUCUACAUUCCGCAGAGAACCCCUUUCCCUCUCCAGUCCUUUCCUGAUCCAGGAGAGAUGAACUGAGAGACCGGCUUGGCUUUUAGCUCUGACUGGAGACAUUUACCAUCUUUUCCUGCUACCUGGGGGCUUCCUCUGCAUAGUAAGAACCUUGGUAUCUUUCUAUGUAAGAACCUUAUCUUAACCCAGUCACUCCUCUCUACUGAUUCCAGCUCUUUAGGUAGUAACUUAAGUCUUUCAACCAAUUGCCAAUCAGGAAAUCUUUGAAUCCACCUAUGACCUGGAAGCCCGACUCGAACUGUCCUACCUUUCUGGACAGAACCAAUGUAUACCUGACAUUUACUGACUGAAGUCUGCCUGUAACUUCUGUUCCCCUAAGAUGUAUAAAAUCAAGCUGUGACCCAAGUACCCUGGGCACAUGUUCUCAGGACCUGGGGCUGUGUUACAGGCUUUGGUUACUCAUAUUCGGCUCAGAAUAAACCUCUUUAAAUAUUUUA